UCUGCAAGGAGGAGUGAAAGGUUAUGACUCACUUCAGCAGUAGGCAGAGAGAAGAGUGGUGGGUUCUGGACCCUAAGUGCACACAAAGCGAGCAUAUCGUGGGGAGGAGGGGCCAGCCUCAGCUGAGGAGGGCUCACCACCGAGAAUCUGCCGCCCCCGUGAGCAGGCCCUGAGCCAGCCACCGCAGAGAGCCUCCACCUACGGCCCGGACAGGGAGGCUUAGGACGGCAGAGCCCACACGUGGGGGGCGUUCUCCUAACUGGCUUGCUAUCUUGUUUUUCAGCGUCAAGAGACAAAAAUUAUACCAAAUCCUCUGAAAGAGUGGCUGCUGUCCUAUGUGAGGAGGCUCACGAUCAGCAGCAAUGCCCUUCAGAGAUCCCCCCACUUCAUCAGUCUUGGCGGCAGCGGGGCGGGGAGGGCUGUGGACUCAGCAGAGCCCAGAGGCAGGCAAGCUUCUCACGUCCUCAUCCACCAGACUCACCCGGGGGGCGCUGUGAGCUUCAAGUGGGAGAGCGACACGAGGAGCCUAACGUGGACCUGAGGCAGCCCGGGCGACCCCAAUGUCAGUCCCCUCCCCACCCCGCCAGACACUGGGGGCGACGUCCAGGAAAGGCUUUCCAGGCCUACCUGUAACUUAUUCGCUUUCUCGGCCAGUUCCACCCUGAGUCUGUCUCCUUCCGAGACCUUGGCGUGGAGCUCCUGGACCUGGGCGUCCAGCUUCUUCCUCUUGUGCUCAGACUCGGCCUUGACCUGCUGCAGCACUUUCACCUCGCACGCCAGCUCCUUGUUGUCUGUCUCCAGGCCCUGCUUGUUCUUCUCCAGAUUUGCCUUGAACUAGGAGAGAGAAGGGAGGAGCACUUCACUCGCAGUUCUACAACAGAGGACGCAAAGGGCGCGGCUUUGGUGUCCGGAGAACCGUGCUGACACGGAGUGAGCCUGCAGUCGACAUCUGUUGCAUAAAUGAAGGAAGACACCUGCUGUUCUCGGAGUGUGAAGACUUCUGUGGGCGGAGCACCCCUGUACACCCCGCUCAGGGCAGCAGAUACAGUAUGGGGGGGGCGCUGGCAGCACCGCGGGGGGCCAGCAUGUGAGAGGAGGAGGCGGGAACGAUGAAGCAAGGGCAACGAUGUGUGCGGUGCCUGAGACAGACUGGAGGCGGGAGGGGCAGGGGGCAGGGCACCAGGGACACCCAAAGGGCCUGGCGGCUUCUGGGCAGCAGGUGAGCGAGAGCAGGAUGUGCAGCUGCUGAAGCUUUAGAGCUCAGUCAGGAGGAAGAGGGCUAUCGGUGAGAGGAAUAUGUGAUUUAAAAAUAAAAUCAGGGGCGCCUGGCUCCCCCAGGCCAGCACUGUGCUCUCAGAGAGCGGCCGCUGCGGGAGCACCUGGACACCCGCGCUGCCCACCGACGUGUCCCUACCCUCUUCGCCUGCUCUAGCUGCUCCGACAGCUCCUCCAGGGCGGUCGCGUGUCUCUGCCUCAUGUCCUGGAUCUGAGCCUCGUGGUUCUUCGUCUCCUCCUCGAGAGCUUUCUUCAGCUCUGCCACUUCUUGUUCACGUUUGGUGCUAGAGAAACAUAAUUUUAGAGGAGGAAGCUCAGAAUUAGUUGAAUGACUAAAUGAAAUGCACAUUUUUAAA